rnacentral:lncRNA from 1 species
ACCUGGGACCGUGGACCGGGAAGCAGUGUCUGGUCGGCGUCCAACUUCUUGGCAAGACACGAGCAAGCUCACAGAGGACCGACCAAGAGGGCGGGGGACCCUGGAAGGUUCCCAGGCACAGCUGCUGGCCGGGAGGUCCGGACUGACACAUGGAGUCCUGGAGGAGGACGACGAGAGGGCUGGCCGAGCAGCAGAGACCCACGUGGGCGAGGGUCCGCUCGCGAAGCCUGCAUAAGGUCCCCUCCCUGGGCAGGAGCCCCUGCUCAGGGCAGCAAGCAGACACCCGUGGUGAGGGGGGGGCCGAGCGGGAUACCCCUCCUCGCAGGGACGCCACACGGGGACCACAAGAGCACGUUCGAUUUCUGCCCAGAGUCUGCUGGUGGCUGAGAGGCAGCUGUGUAGACAGUGACCAGCGGAAGAAGCGGCUGUGACCACGGAUCGCAAAGAUUUGCAAAUGGGCCAAAUCCUUUAAAACCGCACCUGCAGACAGGAGUCCCCCGUCAUCUGGCCCACCGCCGGCCUGCUGCAGCGCCCAGGGUGGGGACCGCGGCCCUGGGCCCCGAACCGCGGGCUCCCCACGUGGCCCCGCCUCACUUCCUCGGCUUUGAGGGAGGGCCUGUGGGCCAUGGCUCCCAGUCCCUGAGCGGCAGCCACCGGAGGGCCCUUCCUCCCGGGGUGGACCCCCCACCAUAGCUCGCCAGGCCGGGUGUCACCGCGUCCCACGACCACCCUGUCCCCAGAGGAGCCCUCCACCGCCCGGACCCACCCGGGAAGCUCCGUCCAGAGCAAGGCUGGAGGCCACCACAGGUCCACGGCGACCCAGACGGAAGCCAUGGGGGGCGAGACCCAGAUGCGUCCCCAGCUGCUCCCACGGUUCACACUGGGGCGCGCGACACAGAGGCACUUAAGGCUCUCGUGACUUCAGACUCGUGUUCGGAGCUGCCGUCAUGUGCCAAGGGGACUCGGCCCAGGGCCUCCGAUGGAGGCAGCCAUCCGAGCAGAACCCGCCCUCCCGAGUGGGUUCCUCCGGAGACAGAGAGCCCACAAAGUGCAGGCGGGAGGGCAUCCCGUUAAUGGACGGGUCUGCGGGAAAUUCCUCUCGGCUCUGAAGCCAAGCCCCACGCCCCACAGGGCCCACACCUCCCGCUUGAGGAGCGGCCCCUCUCCGGCCUCGGGGCGGCCCUCCUGACUUUGGGCUUUGACCGUGAGCUUCUCCAGCCCAGGUGGUGCAGCUGGGAGGCCACAGCUGGGAGGCCACGGACACAGAGCAGGUGUUUGCUGAGCACGCAGAGUCUGGGCCUGUCCUGCCAGAGUCUCCGGGCUGCAGAGGGACGGCCGGCCUGCCAGGGCCGAGGGGGACAGAGCAGGGUCAGACAGGACAGAAGGUGGGUGCUCCAGGCGCGUUCAGGUUGCCCUUUGGAACGGGAGCCAUAGGGAGCCUGCCCG